CUUGAUCGAUACCAACUGCCACGCUCACUAUGUUUCUGAGUUUGAAUUUCAGUUUCAAGCAUUUCUCUUGAUCGAAGUUCAAUUCAAUCCAGAUAAAACUUGACCAACCAAAUUCCCAAAUGCAUUUCCUAAAUCCCGAAGAUAAAAUCGCCACCCCAACCAAGAAAUGUAACCUUAGCCCAUCUCAAAUGAGCCCUUCUACACUAUUUUCCUGCUGCCCCACUACACAGAGAUGCAUUCAGCAACCAUAUUCGUGAACCCCAUCUCAAAUUAUCCUUCAAGAGUUCACCUUUUCCCUCCAAAGAUUCAAAAUUCCCCGCCACAAUUUAGUCUUGGAACUCAGCCCCUGGGAAAAAUGGCGUUUCUUGGUGGAUCGGGCUCCAAAAUCAGUGCAAUUGCCUCCGGCGGGGAUGGUGGCGGCGCUGGAUUUCAGACUCUGGCGGAGUAUAUGGGGAAAGGCGGCGCAAACGUUGGCGAUGAGCUGGUGGUGCUGUUUACUCAUUUGGAGUAUGCUUGUAAAAAGAUUGCUGCUCUUGUGGCUUCACCUUUCAGCUCAAAUCUUGGCAAAAGUUUCAGCACGGCAGCUGGCAGUGCUGAAAGGGAUAAGCCGAAGCCGCUCGAUAUCGUGGCGAAUGAGAUCAUAUUGUCGUCUUUGAAGAAUUCUGGGAAAGUUGCAGUGAUGGCCUCGGAGGAAGAUGAUGCUCCUGUCUGGCUCGCUGAUGAUGGUCCAUUUGUAGUUGUUUUAGAUCCUCUUGAUGGUUCCCGGAACAUUGAUGCCUCUAUUCCUACUGGAACGAUAUUUGGGAUCUACAAGAAAUUGGAGGAACUCAGUCAUCUGCCAAUAGAAGAAAAGGCAUUGCUUAAUUCUCUCCAGAGUGGAACUAAGCUUAUUGCUUCUGGCUAUGUCCUUUACUCGUCAGCUACGAUUCUGUGUACCAGCUUCGGCUCAGGAACACAUGCCUUCACCUUGGAUCACUCGACAGGAGACUUCAUUCUGACCCACCCAAACAUUAGAAUUCCUCCCCGAGGGCAAAUAUACUCUGUAAAUGAUGCUCGAUAUUUUGACUGGCCUGAAGGUUUAAGGCAGUAUAUAGAUACUGUUAGACAAGGCAAGGGCAAACAUCCUAAGAAAUAUUCAGCCAGAUAUAUAUGUUCUCUUGUUGCUGAUUUUCACAGGACACUCUUAUAUGGUGGUAUUGCGAUGAACCCAAGGGAUCACCUCCGACUCGUUUAUGAAGCUAAUCCACUCAGUUUCCUAGCAGAGCAAGCAGGAGGUAAAGGAUCUGAUGGUAAAGUUAGAGUACUGUCUCUCCAGCCUGUGAAGUUGCACCAGAGACUUCCUCUGUUUCUCGGAAGCCCGGAUGAUAUAGAAGAGUUAGAGAGUUAUGGAGAUGUGCAACAAAAAGUAAACCCUGGAUAUGACGUAUAGAAAAUGUACUUUUGCCUCGUCUGUCGAGUCUUUUUGUUUACGUGGUUUGCCACAUCUCAACCGUGCAUUCUGUUUGAUAUCCACUUUUCUUCUGUGCCAAGUGUAUAUGUUCGUAAAUGUCAUAGAAUGAAACCUCUCCUAGUGAAGAGGGAAGCAAGCAUGGACUUCAGGUACUUUUUUUACUUCUUGCAACUAUCUUGUAUGAUAGUAAACUAAUCAGAAAGUUACCUUUAUACAUUAUUAGGUUUGGUCUAGUUUCUAGUUUCCGGUAUUCCUUGAGAAUUCUGCGAGAGAGCAGUGUAAUAUUGCUAGAAGAUAGAAAAUGUUGUUGUUGGUAAUCCAGAGCUUGAAAUCAAAAGAAAGAUAAAGACAUGAAUGGCACACCAACUUCUACAACUACUGUGGGCACUUGACUUGACCGUUCCUCCUGGCUGACAGUGAUUGCAGGUUUUCGUGUUUCCCUGUGAGAUUUUACACUUGCUUGUUUAUCAUGAUGUUUCUCAGAUGGUCGAUGAAUUUGCUUAUAUAAUUAUCUUGACUCUCGUGAUUGCCAAAGACACUUUUCAGCUCUGCAGCCUUCAGCCUCAACUGCUCGCCUUCUUCUUCUAAAAGAACUCGUCUUAUGGAUUCAGCAACCACAUCCCGACUAAAGGAACCAUCUUCAUUCCUGGGGACCUCGUAUCCAACUUGGUUUUCCACUAACAGCUUAGCAGUGAGUCCUUGGUCUGAUACCAUGGGGAGAAGAAUUAGCGGGUGCCCAUGAGCAAGAGAUUCAACACUUGUUCCCCAGCCGGAGUGGAAAAAACAUCCCCCGAUUGCUGGAUGGGCGAGUAUUUCUUGUUGAGGCGCCCAACCAAGAACAACGAGACCCUGUCUCAGUGUACGGCUGGCAAAACCAGGAGGCAGUAAAUCCAAACUAUCCACUCCUUGUGGCUUCCUUAGAAUCCAGAGGAAAGCCAUUUGCAGGUGUCGGGCCAGCUUGAGUCGAUUGGUACGUUCUUGCUCUCUUCAGGUAUUGGAGUAAGUAAGCCAAUCGGUAAAACCGGCUUCUGAUAUAGUUCUCGAAUUAGAUUUAAGUACUUGCCCUCAAACUCUUUGCAACUUCUCACCAAGACAAAGCUGCUUUCCUCCACGACCUUUGCCAAACGUUGGCCACUGGACACGCCUGAUGCAUCGGGGACAUGUGUGUUACGCAUCAUCAGCGCUGCAUAUUCCUUCGUGUGGGCUAGACGAGAAGGAAAAGGGAUCCAAUCCGGUGGCUUGGUGUAGCAUUCUGGACUCGUAAAUGAUUUCCCAUCCUUGAGCUCAGCCGGUGGCCCCAUGUAAGCCAAUGUAGCAGCUGUAAACACGCUGAAAUACGCAGUGCUUACGCCAUACAUGGCAGCAACUUCCGAGAUACGGUAUGCAGCAAAGUCAACAAGUAUCAGAUCUGGCCUGACCUUCUCAAGCAGAUGAUCAAAUGGCUCAGCUAACAUGUCAUGCGCUUUCUUCAGGAACGGCAUUUGUACGUUCUGGAUAUCAAUCGUUGCCUCACAAUUCUCCGGUAGUCCGUCUACUGGGUGCAUUUGGAUCUCCAGAAGCUCCAUCUUGGCUUGUAGAGCUGAUGGGAUGGGAGGUAACCUCUGCAGGUUUCUUGGGGUGGAAACGUAUGAUACAAAGAUCCCUUUUGCUGCCAAUCGCUUUGAUAACUCGAAGAAGGGUAUCAUAUGGCCAAAUGCCAGCCAUGGAAACAUCAUUAUAUGGUAAGUUUUUGCUUCCAUUUUUCUGUGCGAGUUGCCUUCAAACUUGUGCUUUGCUCUUCUUAUAAAGAGAGAGAGCUAUAGGUGUUUACAACUUGGCAUUGCAGUUACUUGUCUUGUUCAACAUAGAAUAGUGAAAAACACUUCACGUGAAUCAGAUGUUUGAAAUUAUAUAUUCAGUAUGUAGAUUUGCUGUCUGAUUCUUGACGAUAAUAACAAUUUUAAAUUCUGAA